rnacentral:misc_RNA from 1 species
GGAAACUUGACAGAGUUGGUUAGUUUGGAUCUUUACCUGAACAACUUAAAUGGUCCUAUUCCUCCCUCAUUGGGCAGGCUUCAGAAGCUACGCUUCCUGAGGCUCAAUAAUAACAGUUUGAAUGAAGGUAUUCCCAUGUCUCUAACCACCAUUGUUGCACUUCAAGUACUUGAUCUCUCAAACAACCAUUUGACAGGACUAGUUCCAGUCAACGGUUCCUUUUCACUUUUUACUCCUAUAAGUUUUGCUAAUAAUCAGUUGGAAGUUCCUCCAGUUUCUCCACCUCCUCCUCUUCCUCCUACACCCUCAUCGUCAUCUUCAGUGGGCAACAGCGCAACUGGAGCUAUCGCUGGAGG